rnacentral:rRNA from 1 species
UGGUUAAUAUUCCAGCACCGUCUCUGAAUGCGAUGGGGGGACGGAUCGUGGAAAGUUGUCCGGGUGUUGGAUGUCCCGGUUCUUGGUCUGUAGGUGUCCGGUAGGCAAAUCCGCCGGGCGUAUGCCGAGGGAUUGAGACGAGCGAGCUUGCUCGCGAAGCAACUGGAAGGGGUCCCAGGAAAAGCCUCUAAGCUUCAGUUCAGAGCGACCGUACCGCAAACCGACACUGGUGCGCGAGAUGAGUAUUCUCAGGCGCUUGAGAGAACUCGGGAGAAGGAACUCGGCAAAUUGACACCGUAACUUCGGAAGAAGGUGUGCCUUUGUAGUUUGAGUGUGAACAACACGAGGACGAAGAGGUUGCAAAAAAUCGGUGGCUGCGACUGUUUACCAAAAACACAGCACUCUGCAAACACGAAAGUGGACGUAUAGGGCGUGACGCCUGCCCGGUGCCGGAAGGUUAAAUGAUGGGGUGCAAGCUCUUGAUUGAAGCCCCGGUAAACGGCGGCCGUAACGAUAACGGUCCUAAGGUAGCGAAAUUCCUUGUCGGGUAAGUUCCGACCUGCACGAAUGGUGUAACGAUGGCCACACUGUCUCCUCCCGAGACUCAGCGAAGUUGAAAUGUUUGUGAUGAUGCAAUCUACCCGCGGCUAGACGGAAAGACCCCAUGAACCUUUACUGUAGCUUUGCAUUGGACUGUGAACCGAUCUGUGUAGGAUAGGUGGGAGGCUUUGAAGCCGGGACGCUAGUUCUGGUGGAGCCAACCUUGAAAUACCACCCUGGUUUGUUUGCGGUUCUAACCUUGACCCGUUAUCCGGGUUGGGGACAGUGCAUGGUAGGCAGUUUGACUGGGGCGGUCUCCUCCCAAAGCGUAACGGAGGAGUUCGAAGGUACGCUUGGUACGGUCGGACAUCGUGCCUAAAGUGCAAGGGCAAAAGCGUGCUUAACUGCGAGACUGACAAGUCGAGCAGGUACGAAAGUAGGACCUAGUGAUCCGGUGGUUCUGAAUGGAAGGGCCAUCGCUCAACGGAUAAAAGGUACUCUGGGGAUAACAGGCUGAUACCGCCCAAGAGUUCAUAUCGACGGCGGUGUUUGGCACCUCGGUGUCGGCUCAUCUCAUCCUGGGGCUGUAGCCGGUCCCAAGGGUAUGGCUGUUCGCCAUUUAAAGAGGUACGUGAGCUGGGUUCAAAACGUCGUGAGACAGUUUGGUCCCUAUCUGCCGUGGGCGCUGGAGAUUUGAUGGGACCUGCUCCUAGUACGAGAGGACCGGAGUGGACUCACCUCUGGUGUACCUGUUGUCACGCCAGUGGCAUCGCAGGGUAGCUAUGUGGGGAAGAGAUAACCGCUGAAAGCAUCUAAGCGGGAAACUCGCCUAAAGAUGAGAUCUCCCUGGGGACUAGAUCCCCCUGUAGGGUCGUUCGAGACCAGGACGUUGAUAGGCUGGGUGUGGAAGCGUGGUGACACGUUAAGCUAACCAGUACUAAUUGCCCGUGAGGCUUGACCCU